AUUAUUUAGUCCCUGUAGGCUAGUAUGUUCUGGGAGGACUUUAGUUUUUGGAAAUAUAUUGAACAGAAUUUGAGAUGUUGACACUCUUUCUGAUAUUGUUUUAGCUGUUGAACUUUAGCAGAAGGAAUGAGCUUCACUAUGUGUGAGUGGAAAAUGUACCACUGACAAGAUAUGCUAUUGGCUGCUCUGUUAAUAAAUCCUGUGACUCAUACUUUCUGUAAGCAUAUCUCUUAUGAAAGAUUGAUUGAUUCAACCAAAUUGGCUUGCUGCUGGUAUAAUAAAAGCAGAUAAUAUGCCUAGAGAUCCAGGAUGGCUCUAAACAGAUCAUGAGCAAGUUAUCACCUAAAAGUGCAGAAAGUCCUUAUCACCAGUGCUCUGAGUAUUUAAUUGCUAUUUAGUUCAGGCCUUAUUAAUAGGAAUACAAAAAUAAUUAUUUUAAGCCUUACUGAAGAGAAAUAUACUGACUUAUCUAGUUAGCUGCAUUGUAUUUUAGAGAGUGAAGAUCUUGAUAGCCAUAUAUUUUAGGACAGCCAUCACCUAAUGAAGUAGAAAGUAUAAAAGAUACUCUCACUGGGAAACCAGCAUCAGUUUACAAGAUUUCUAUUUACUGUGAGAAGCUCAGUCCUAGAGUGUACAAAGCUUGAACCAGAACUGUUGAGGUAGAAAUGGACAGAAUACUUGAGGAAUUAUUCACUCACUCUUUAAACUUUUGUCUUUAAUUGGAGAUUAAAUAAAGAAUGAAUAAAAACAGGAAAUAAGCUACUCAGAUUUUCUUUUUUAUUGAACUUUUUUCAGAGUAGACUUCAUGGCUGCUACUCACCAAGAAAGCGUUUUUGUGAGUUAAUGUUUCAAAACAUUUUAGUUCUCCACAUUUUUAUUUCAUGCUUUAUGAUGUCAGCUCCCCUCAACUCAAAGCUCAAGAGAAGGAGGUUUGUUAAAAAUUGCAAUCAAGGUCUAGAUAUAAGAGAUUUCAGAAGCUAAAGGAUAAGCAUUUGUUCAUACAGGAGGGGUUAUUAAUGGUUGCCUAGUAAAUAAUUACCUCAAUGAAAUUAGUGGACAUGAAAGAUACAUUUAAUGUAAUCGAAAUAACAGUUUCUUCAUUCGAAAUGGGGAUAAUCUCUUCUGUUCAAAUUGCUUCUAGAUUCAGAGAACAGACAGGUUAAGUCCUUCUUAUCAUAUGUUUAAAAAAAAACAAAAGAAAUAAAUAUUAUGAAAGAUUAAACUAGAUUUGAAACUUCUUAGAAUUCUAUUUUAAUAUUAACCAUUCACCAACUGUUAACCUAAUAAAGAUGAAAUUAGGACAUAAAGAGAAUUGAAAAAUGAAGCAUCAGGAUAGGCAAAUGUGUAUUACCAAACUGUGGGGAGAGAAACAGAUUUACCCUUCAUUCUUGCCAAUUUGAUUUGUUGUAUAGUGAACAUACUGCAAACAUCAUCUCAAUCAAGUGGUUUUUGCUGUGGGCAUCUCUCUUCUGGAGUCUUUAUGGCACUGUGAAAAUGGCUAAGCUCUGCUACUAUCCAAAGUAUGGUCCUGUGUAAUUAAUAUUCAAUCCAUCCAUAUUUAUAAGCAGUUAAUAGAGUCUAAAUGGUAGACACACUGUUGAACUAGAAAUAUGAGUAAGUCUACCCUAGACUAUCAUUGCAACAAAUUGAAGCCUUGAGAAACUCACUUGACCUCUCUGGAUAACCUUGUUAGUAAGAAUUCCUUCAGCACAACUGCUUUAUAAUAUGAGGCCUAAGUUGAUAUGUGCAUAUAUUUGAGUUCCCUUGUCUAUCCAAAAAUAUUUUUGAAAGUUAGUACUCCAAAUAAAAUUCCCUUUCUUUUCUCUAGAACAAUAAAGAACAGGUUCUUUACUGAAACUUACAAUAUAGUAAGUGUUCAAUUAACGAAUCUUUCUCCUUUAUAUUUUUCUUCCUCUUAGGUCUCUUGCAACAUACAGUUUCUUACACUUAGUUAUCUACAGAAAACAACCAUAUAUUGAACCCCAUUCUAAAACAAUUCACAUUUUUUAUACUAUAUGUAUUCUUACUAUAAUAAUCUAAAACUAUUUAUUGAUGCAAACUCAGGAAUUCAGUGGAAGCAUGUCGAGUUCCUUCAUCAACAGGAAUAUAGAGUUUGAGUGUAUAUGAUUGACUAUAUUUAGAAAACUUAUUCUUUUGACUCAAGGCUAAUUUAUUUCCAUUCAUUUAACACACUUUGGGUAUAUUUUCAUUUAAAAGUAAAUUCCAUACCACUACUGUUUUAAAGCAUUACUCAAGGCACUGUUCCUAAGCCAUGUAAUCUAGAGUUUGCAGAGAUAAUUAUUAAUAAUACUGACAGCUGGUCCAUUUUCCAUGUAAUUGGAACAUUUUUAUUUAAGGAAACAAAACAAAACC
rnacentral:lncRNA from 1 species